AAGUCGUAACAAGGUUUCCGUAGGUGAACCUGCGGAAGGAUCAUUAACACGUAUCCAACGUUAAAACCCCCUGUGAACCUUUAGUGUGCUCGCUCAUUCUGUUGGAAAGUGGCAAUCCCUGGUAAAUCAUCGCCGAACAGUUUUGAUUCAGGGACUUCUGCGAAGAGUGUUGCUUGUAGCGCGAGGCAAGUGGCCUGGCAUUCCUCUGCUUGUUAGUGUCUGAAAGUGUCACUGGCUCCGUAAGAAUGGCGCAGUCACGAUCGCUAGAGGCCGACACGGCCGGCGACCUGCGCUUAAUUGUGCGGCCAUAAACCGAACAACUGUUAACAAUGGAUAUCUUGGUUCUC
rnacentral:misc_RNA from 1 species